GUGGAUGAGGCAUGCAAGUCGAACGAAGCUAUUGAGUAACUAGUAGCUUAGUGGCGGAAGGGUUAGUAAUACAUGAAUAACCUACCUUUUACCUGGGGAUAACGGCUGGAAACGGCCGCUAAUACCGAAUGAGGCGACUCAAGGGUAACCUUGGUCAGUCAAAGUAGGGGACCUUGAAAGAGGCCUUGCGGUAGAAGAGGGGUUCAUGGGAUAUCAGCUAGUUGGUGUGGUAAAGGCGCACCAAGGCUAAGACGUCUAGGCGGAUUGAGAGAUUG
rnacentral:rRNA from 1 species